CUGAGCCCAGCCACCGAGCACCAGCACAGGCUGCUGUAUCAGGGAUAUUGACUGCACGGGGUGCUGUUACCAUACGCUGCCUGAUCGGGGUUGAGCUCCGAUCACGGCAGCCGGACCAGUGGAGGGCAUUGGAAACUCUUGGAGUAGGACAAGAAGAACUGUAACACUCUUGUUGCAUAGUACCUUACUCUCACCAUUAUCAGAUGGGUGGCCCAUGGACAGAAGCUACUACGUAGGAGGACGAAAACUGUAGUACUGUACAGUAUUAUUGAACUGCACUAUGACUAGGUAAAAAAAUUAAAUGUUUUCUGCCCUUCGGCUUUACUACAGUAUGGAAAUGGAUGUAUUACCCACAGAAAGAGCUGCAUAACAAACAAAUAUAAUAAAAGGAAACAAUGCACUGCAAUGUUCAAUUACAUUUCAUUUUACAGAACAUAAAACCAAUACUUUUCUUACAAAUACAGUCCAGUCUAAUGUCAAUGGUAUAAGCAAUGUUUAUUUCCUUACCUUUAACAAUGAGUUCUGCAUAAUUGGAAACACCUGAUCCACCAGAAGAUCGCAGGACACAGCGAUACUUGCUAAUGCUUCGCUGAGAAGUGUCUCCAACGCUAACUGUGGCAGAGAAGCGUCUGUGAUUUACUACACGAGUUACCAUGAGACCCGUGUCGCGUCCAUUCCAUUGCUGCCAAAUAGAGAU